UCCCUGAUGGUCUAGUGGUUAGGAUUCUGCGCUUUCACUGCUGUGGCCCAGGUUCGAUUCUCGGUCAGGGAA
rnacentral:tRNA from 1 species